rnacentral:rRNA from 1 species
ACUGCUCAGUAACACGUAGCUAACCUACCCUUAGGACGAGGACAACCCCGAGAAAUUGGGGCUAAUCCGCGAUAGGUGUGAUGUCCUGGAAUGGUAUCACGCCCAAAGGUGUUCGCACGCCUAAGGAUGGGGCUGCGGCCGAUCAGGCAGUUGGUGAGGUAACGGCUCACCAAACCUUUGACCGGUACGGGCCAUGAGAGUGGUAGCCCGGAGAUGGACACUGAGACAAGGGUCCAGGCCCUACGGGGCGCAGCAGGCGCGAAACCUCCUCAAUGCACUCACGUGCGAAGGGGUUACCUCGAGUGCCGCCUGAAGAAGGCGGCUUUUCCAUGGUCUAAAAAGCCUAGGGAAUAAGAGGGGGGCAAGACUGGUGUCAGCCGCCGCGGUAACACCAGCCCCUCGAGUGGUGGGGAUGAUUAUUUGGCCUAAAGCGUCCGUAGCCGGCCGGAUAAGUCUCCCGUUAAAUCCAGCGUCUCAAGCGUUGGACUGCGGGAGAUACUGUCUGGCUAGAGAGUGGGAGAGGUAUACGGUAUUCUGGGGGUAGGGGCGAAAUCCAUUGAUCCCCGGAGGACCACCAGUGGCGAAGGCUGUAUACUAGAACACGUCUGACGGUCAGGGACGAAAGCUGGGGUAGCGAACCGGAUUAGAUACCCGGGUAGUCCCAGCCGUAAACGAUGCACGCUAGGUGUUGGGUCGGCCACGAGCCGCCCCAGUGCCGCAGGGAAGCCAUUAAGCGUGCCGCCUGGGGAGUACGGCCGCAAGGCUGAAACUUAAAGGAAUUGGCGGGGGAGCACCACCAGGCGUGAAGCCUGCGGUUUAAUUGGAUUCAACGCCGGGAAUCGAAUUCCCGCGGCC